GCUACGGGAGGCUGCAGUGGGGAAUAUUGCACAAUGGGGGAAACCCUGAUGCAGCGACGCCGCGUGAGUGAAGAAGUAUCUCGGUACGUAACGCUCUAUCAGCCGGGAAGAAAAUGACGGUACCUGACUACGAAGCCCCGGCUAACUCCGUGCCAGCCGCCGCGGUAAUACGUAGGGGGCAAGCGUUAUCCGGAUUUACUGGGUGUAAAGGGAGCGGAGACGGCAGCACACGUCUGGAGUGAAAUCCCGGGGCUUAACCCCGGAACUGCUUUGGAAACUGUGCGGCUGGAGUGCAGGAGGGGUAAGCGGAAUUCCUAGUGUAGCGGUGAAAUGCGUAGAGAUUAGGAGGAACACCGGUGGCGAAGGCGGCUUACUGGACUGUAACUGACGUUGAGGCUCGAAAGCGUGGGGAGCAAACAGGAUUAGAUACCCCGGUAGUC
rnacentral:rRNA from 1 species